AUACGUAGGGGGCGAGCGUUGUCCGGAAUGAUUGGGCGUAAAGGGCGCGUAGGCGGCCCGGUAAGUCUGGAGUGAAAGUCCUGUUUUUAAGAUGGGAAUUGCUUUGGAUACUGUCGGGCUUGAGUGCAGGAGAGGUAAGUGGAAUUCCCAGUGUAGCGGUGAAAUGCGUAGAGAUUGGGAGGAACACCAGUGGCGAAGGCGACUUACUGGACUGUAACUGACGCUGAGGCGCGAAAGUGUGGGGAGCAAACAGGAUUAGAUACCCUGGUAGUCCACACUGUAAACGAUGAAUGCUAGGUGUAGGGGGUAUCGACCCCAUCUGUGCCGCAGUCAACACAAUAAGCAUUCCGCCUGGGGAGUACGGCCGCAAGGUUGAAACUCAAAUGAAUUGACGGGG
rnacentral:rRNA from 1 species